UACAGAGGUCUCAAGCGUUGUUCGGAUUCAUUGGGCGUAAAGGGUGCGUAGGUGGCGGGGUAAGUCAGGUGUGAAAUUUCGGAGCUCAACUCCGAAACUGCAUUUGAUACUGCCUUGCUUGAGGACUGGAGAGGAGACUGGAAUUCACGGUGUAGCAGUGAAAUGCGUAGAGAUCGGGAGGAACAUCAGUUGCGAAGGCGGCUCUCUGGACCAGCACUGACACUGAGGCACGAAAGCGUGGGGAGCAAACAGG
rnacentral:rRNA from 1 species